GGAGAGUUGGCAGAGUGGUCGAAUGCGGCUGUCUUGAAAACUGUUGAGGGUCACACCUCCAGGGGUUCGAAUCCCUUACUCUCCG
rnacentral:tRNA from 1 species